AGUGAAAUCUUGUAAUCCCUGUGAGACCACCAGUGGCGAAGGCGUCUUACCAGAACGGGUCCGACGGUGAGGGACGAAAGCUGGGGGCACGAACCGGAUUAGAUACCCGGGUAGUCCCAGCUGUAAACGAUGCUCGUUAGGUGUCAGGAACGGUGCGACUGUUUCUGGUGCCGAAGGGAAGCCGUGAAACGAGCCACCUGGGAAGUACGGCCGCAAGGCUGAAACUUAAAGGAAUUGGCGGGGGAGCACUACAACGGGUGGAGCCUGCGGUUUAAUUGGACUCAACGCCGGAAAACUCACCGGGGGCGACAGCAAUAUGUAGGUCAGGUUAAAGGUCUUACCUGAAUCGCUGAGAGGAGGUGCAUGGCCGUCGUCAGUUCGUACUGUGAAGCAUCCUGUUAAGUCAGGCAACGAGCAAGACCCGUGCCCACUGUUACCAGCAUAUCCUUUAUGGAUGAUGGGGACUCUGUGGGGACCGCUGCUGCUAAAGCAGAGGAAGGUGCGGGCUACGGUAGGUCAGUAUGCCCCGAAUCUCCCGGGCUACACGCGGGCUACAAUGGUUGGGACAAUGGGUAUCUACUCCGAAAGGAGUUGGCAAUCUCUUAAACCCAAUCGUAGUUCGAAUUGAGGGCUGUAACUCGCCCUCAUGAAGCUGGAAUCCGUAGUAAUCGCGUUUCAACAUAGCGCGGU
rnacentral:rRNA from 1 species